rnacentral:rRNA from 1 species
CAGCAGCCGCGGUAAUACAGAGGGUGCGAGCGUUAAUCGGAUUUACUGGGCGUAAAGCGUGCGUAGGCGGCUUCUUAAGUCGGAUGUGAAAUCCCUGAGCUUAACUUAGGAAUUGCAUUCGAUACUGGGAAGCUAGAGUAUGGGAGAGGAUGGUAGAAUUCCAGGUGUAGCGGUGAAAUGCGUAGAGAUCUGGAGGAAUACCGAUGGCGAAGGCAGCCAUCUGGCCUAAUACUGACGCUGAGGUACGAAAGCAUGGGGAGCAAACAGGAUUAGAGACCCGGGUAGUCCCUGUCUCUUAUAC